rnacentral:miRNA from 1 species
UGGUCUCUUCCAGCUCUAUGAUUCUAUGAUUCUAUGAUUCUAUGAAUAACGGAAUCAUAGAACUGUAGAGUUGGACGGGACCC